rnacentral:rRNA from 1 species
GUGACAGCCGCCGCGGUAAUACGUAGGGGGCGAGCGUUGUCCGAAUUUACUGGGCGUAAAGCGCGCGUAGGCGGACCUUUAAGUCGGUGGUGAAAUUCCGAGGCUCAACCUCGGAACUGCCGCCGAAACUGGAGGUCUUGAGGUAUGGAGAGGGAAGUGGAAUUCCUGGUGUAGCGGUGAAAUGCGUAGAUAUCAGGAGGAACACCCGUGGCGAAGGCGGCUUCCUGGUCAUAUCCUGACGCUGAGGUGCGAAAGCCAGGGGAGCGAACGGGAUUAGAAACCCUAGUAGUCC